rnacentral:rRNA from 1 species
CACGUAGGGGGCAAGCGUUUGUCCGGAUUUAUUGGGCGUAAGAGCUCGUAGGCGGCUCGUUAAGUCGGAUGUGAAAGCCCUCGGCUCAACCGAGGAAGUGCAUUCGAAACUGGCGAGCUUGAAUAUGGAAGAGGGUCGCGGAAUUCCCGGUGUAGAGGUGAAAUUCGUAGAUAUCGGGAGGAACACCAGUGGCGAAGGCGGCGACCUGGGCCAAUAUUGACGCUGAGGUGCGAAAGCGUGG